rnacentral:rRNA from 1 species
GCCUACGGGUGGCUGCAGCAGGGAAUCUUGCACAAUGGGCGAAAGCCUGAUGCAGCGACGCCGCGUGGGGGAUGAAGGCCCUAGGGUCGUAAACCCCUUUCAGCAGGGACGAAGAUGACGGUACCUGCAGAAGAAGCCCCGGCCAACUACGUGCCAGCAGCCGCGGUAAGACGUAGGGGGCGAGCGUUGUCCGGAUUUAUUGGGCGUAAAGAGCUCGUAGGCGGUUGCGUAAGUCGGAUGUGAAAACUCAGGGCUCAACCCUGAGACGCCAUCCGAUACUGCGCUGACUCGAAUCCAGUAGGGGAGUGUGGAAUUCCUGGUGUAGCGGUGAAAUGCGCAGAUAUCAGGAGGAACACCCAUGGCGAAGGCAGCACUCUGGGCUGGUAUUGACGCUGAGGAGCGAAAGCAUGGGUAGCGAACAGGAUUAGAUACCCGUGUAGUCG